rnacentral:rRNA from 1 species
AGGACGAACGCUGGCGGCGCGCUUAACACAUGCAAGUCGAGCGAGAACCAAGCCUUCGGGCUUGGGGAAAGCGGCGAACGGGUGAGUAACACGUGGGUAACCCACCCUUGGUACCGGGAUAGCCCGAGGAAACUCGGAUUAAUACCGGAUGGCCCAACAGCUUUUCGGGGCGGUUGGAAAAGGUAGCUUCGGCCUCCGACCAAGGACGGGCCCGCGGCGGAUUAGCUUGUUGGUGAGGUAACGGCUCACCAAGGCGACGAUCCGUAGCUGGUCUGAGAGGACGAUCAGCCACACUGGGACUGAGACACGGCCCAGACUCCUACGGGAGGCAGCAGUGGGGAAUAUUGCACAAUGGGCGAAAGCCUGAUGCAGCGACGCCGCGUGAGGGAUGACGGCCUUGGGUUGUAAACCUCUUUCAGCAGGGAAGAAGCGCAAGUGACGGUACCUGCAGAAGAAGCACCGGCUAACUACGUGCCAGCAGCCGC